UAGGGAAUCUUCGGCAAUGGACGAAAGUCUGACCGAGCAACGCCGCGUGAGUGAAGAAGGUUUUCGGAUCGUAAAACUCUGUUGUUAGAGAAGAACAAGGACGUUAGUAACUGAACGUCCCCUGACGGUAUCUAACCAGAAAGCUACGGCUAACUACGUGCCAGCAGCCGCGGUAAUACGUAGGUGGCAAGCGUUGUCCGGAUUUAUUGGGCGUAAAGCGAGCGCAGGCGGUUUCUUAAGUCUGAUGUGAAAGCCCCCGGCUCAACCGGGGAGGGUCAUUGGAACCUGGGGGACUUGAGUGCAGAAGAGGAGAGUGGAAUUCCAUGUGUAGCGGUGAAAUGCGUAGAUAUAUGGUGGAACACCAGUGGCGAAGGAGGCUCUCUGGUCUGUAACUGACGCUGAGGCUCGAAAGCGUGGGGAGCAAACAGG
rnacentral:rRNA from 1 species